GCAGAAAAAUCUAGAGAAGAAUGCUGCUAAAUAUGAAGUAUAUGAAGAUUUCCUACUGAAAACCAGUGACAAACUGUCUGACACAACCUGGAACAAGGAGUCACCUGCUGCUUGACUGAAUGGACCCUUAGAGACUGAAAACCAAGUUCCACUGCCAUGGUGGGGAUUCUUCUAGAUACCAGUGCUAUGGGACCAACUGAGCAUACCCAUAGAAAAGCAUUUCUACUUGCCCA